rnacentral:rRNA from 1 species
UACGGAGGGUGCGAGCGUUGUUCGGAAUCACUGGGCGUAAAGGGCGUGUAGGCGGUCCGUUAAGUCUGAUGUGAAAGCCCGGGGCUCACCCCCGGAAGGGCAUUGGAAACUGGCGGACUCGAGUCCCGGAGAGGAGAGGGGAAUUCCUGGUGUAGCGGUGAAAUGCGUAGAUAUCAGGAGGAACACCGGUGGCGAAGGCGGCUCUCUGGACGGUGACUGACGCUAAGACGCGAAAGCGUGGGGAGCAAACAGG